CCUUAUUGAGGCCUUUGGGAGCAAGCGUCUCGAGCCGGUGGAUCCAAUAUGCUUCACGUUGGUGGAGCAUCUGGAUCCGAUUUCCUCCACGUCGAGGCAGGCAAUUGAAAAAACGGA